rnacentral:piRNA from 1 species
UGGAGUUCAAUUUCUAAGAAA